CUGCUCACUUCAGCAGUACAUACACUAAAAUUAAAACAAUACAGAGAUUAGCAUGGCCCAUGUGCAAGGAUGACAUGCAAAUUCGUGAAGUGUUCCAUAUUUUU
ensembl:snRNA RNU6-230P RNA, U6 small nuclear 230, pseudogene